AGAUUUUCUAAUUUGAUACCACAGAUAGUUUUCUAAUCAAGUGUAGGUGGAAUCUUCCUUAGGUUAAUUCAAGAAGUACCACAAAUGAUAUUCAAGGAAAAAUAUGAGUGGAAAUCUAACCUCUCUUCACUAAGUAUGAAAGCUUGUUCAUUUAAGACCUUUUGCCCAAUCUAUUAAGUAUUUUAUCAACCAUGAGAGCAAAUUAAUUAAUUCUCUUAAUGACUUCAAAGUUCUUUUAUGAUAAUAGGAGCAUUGGGGCACAAAUAUCAAAAUAUACAUUCAUGCAAUUUUUGAUACAUCUUAGAGCUCUUUUAAAGACUUUCUUUUAUUUCUUUAGAAAAUAAGCACAAUUUGAUACAUAAAAUAAUGAAUUUGCACAAAAUUGAAGUUCCAAAAAGCAAGCCAAUUAGAGCUCAUUAGUGAAGUUCAAAAUAGAUUUUCUAAAAGAUACUCAAGAAAAUUUUACACGUUAUUCUCCCCCUUUUUCAUUAAAUUAGAGGCUCUUAAAAUUUGCAAUUUGGUUCAAGAGUGAUGCAUGAGAUAUACUAACCAAAUAACACGCCUCAAGGUGUAUCAUAAAGAUUUUCAGAUUUAAAUUUCAGAUGAUACAUAUUGGAGAGUAUUAGGAUCA
rnacentral:lncRNA from 1 species